rnacentral:rRNA from 1 species
AGCGAACGCUGGCGGCAGGCUUAACACAUGCAAGUCGAGCGGCCGUAGCAAUACGGCAGCGGCAGACGGGAGAGUAACACGUGGGAACGUGCCUAUCAGUUCGGAACAACCCAGGGAAACUUGGGCUAAUACCGGAUACGCCCUUACGGGGAAAGAUUUAUCGCUGAUAGAGCGGCCCGCGUCUGAUUAGCUUGUUGGUGAGGUAACGGCUCACCAAGGCGACGAUCAGUAGCUGGUCUGAGAGGAUGAUCAGCCUCACUGGGACUGAGACACGGCCCAGACUCCUACGGGAGGCAGCAGUGGGGAAUCUUGCGCAAUGGGCGAAAGCCUGACGCAGCCAUGCCGCGUGAAUGAUGAAGGUCUUAGGAUUGUAAAAUUCUUUCACCGGGGAAGAUAAUGACGGUACCCGGAGAAGAAGCCCCGGCUAACUUCGUGCCAGCCGCCGCAGUAAGAC